CCUACGUGCGGCAGCAGUGGGGAAUAUUGGACAAUGGGCGAAAGCCUGAUCCAGCCAUGCCGCGUGUGUGAAGAAGGCCUUCGGGUUGUAAAGCACUUUCAGUGGGGAAGAAAGCCUUGGGGCUAAUACCCUCGAGGAAGGACAUCACCCACAGAAGAAGCACCGGCUAACUCCGUGCCAGCAGCCGCGGUAAUACGGAGGGUGCGAGCGUUAAUCGGAAUUACUGUGCGUAAAGCGCGCGUAGGCGGUCUGAUAAGCCGGUUGUGAAAGCCCCGGGCUCAACCUGGGAACGGCAUCCGGAACUGUCAGGCUAGAGUGCAGGAGAGGAAGGUAGAAUUCCCGGUGUAGCGGUGAAAUGCGUAGAGAUCGGGAGGAAUACCAGUGGCGAAGGCGGCCUUCUGGACUGACACUGACGCUGAGGUGCGAAAGCGUGGGUAGCAGACAGGAUUAGAUACCCGAGUAGUC
rnacentral:rRNA from 1 species